CCUACGGGAGGCUGCAGUGGGGAAUAUUGGGCAAUGGGCGCAAGCCUGACCCAGCAACGCCGCGUGAAGGAAGAAGGCUUUCGGGUUGUAAACUUCUUUUAAGAGGGAAGAGCAGAAGACGGUACCUCUUGAAUAAGCCACGGCUAACUACGUGCCAGCAGCCGCGGUAAUACGUAGGUGGCAAGCGUUAUCCGGAUUUACUGGGUGUAAAGGGAGCGUAGACGGUCCUGCAAGCCAGAUGUGAAAGCCCGGGGCCCAACCCCGGGACUGCAUUUGGAACUGUAAGGCUAGAGUGUCGGAGAGGCAGGCGGAAUUCCUAGUGUAGCGGUGAAAUGCGUAGAUAUCAGGAGGAAUACCGUUAGCGAAGGCGGCAAUCUGGCUGGAAACUGACGCUGAGGUGCGAAAGCGUGGGUAGCAAACAGGAUUAGAUACCCGGGUAGUC
rnacentral:rRNA from 1 species